CAUCCCACCUUUUAUGGGAGGGUUUUAUACUUUGGUAUUUAGAUGCCUGUAGCUUUCAAACAUGCUCAAGACUGAACAGAAGCAAAUUUGUCUUGAUGUUGAUGCUGAAUGUUUUUCUACAGACAGGUGCCCAGUCUGGGUUGUCUCCUUCUGUCUGCACUGUUCAGAUUCUCUUGUAAUUUCUGCAAAGACUGACCCUCACCAUGCUCCACUCUGAGUUAGAGCAGAUGUUAGAAUGGUUUUGAAAUUUGAGAAACAGAAGGAGUCAUGGUCAGCUGUGGCUGGUCCCUUGCCCACUCUGUUUCCCAGACAUGUGUUUUUCCUAUCAGUGAGAGGCUCUGCAGAAUGCUGAAUUUGUGCAAUGGGAUUCUGAACUCCCACAGGCAACUGCUUUAGUCUCAUGAAGAUUUGGCUACUACAAAACAGGCACCAAGUUUUAUCUUCUUCCAUUGGAAAAAUGAGGCAACAGCUGUGUUCUGAACAGCUGCAACUUCAAGACUUUUCAGCAGUUCCUACCAAAAAUUCUGGCAAGGUGCAAACAAGCUGGCUCAGGUGCAAGGAGGAAAAUGCUGAUGAGUGAGGAUGUGACACUGAAGUUCCUGUCACUAUUUAGCAGCUGCAGAGGCUGAAGAGAUGACCAGGCAGUUUGGGAAUACACAGCCAUCAUCUCAUCCAUUGUUUCUAUACUUUGCAGUGAGCUGGAGCUAUCUAUUAUCAGCCCAACCAUGAUCCUGCUCUCACACCACUGCUGGACACCAAGGAGAUGUGUUGGGCACCCAGUCACCAGCAAACUGAUCUGUGAAAAGGGAGGAUCCUUGAUUGUGCUGUGUUCCUCUUUUCCUCCUCUUUUAUUUUUUUUUUCUCUUCUAGUAACAAUUUUACUUAUUAUGUAAGCACCGUGUUUCUGACUACUGGAUUAUUUCUCUUCUUUUCUGUGAACUAUUACUAAUGACUAUCAACUCCACAGGCUCACCUCCCUUUGUUUUGGUUCCCUUAUUUUGCAUGGCUCAGUAACCUACUGCUUUCUUGUUCAUAGUGUGAGCUUCACCAGCUUGUGCUCAAGUCUUUGGUCUGUGGCACUCUGUCCUGUUAGGAUAUUAGCUUGUAAAGAGCCAUUAAAUGUUUGCUUCUGAGCUCUAAGUGAUUCCAGCAGACAAUAUUAUUUUUGACAUAAAAUAACAUUCUACCUCCCUCUUUGUCCACUCAUCCAUUCCUAAACAGGUAAUAGGAGAAGAAGCAGCAUUUCAGUCCUGCAGUUCUCAGCAAGUUUCAUUCUUCCCCAGAAAGCUGAAUAUAUGCUCAAAAAUACAUUUCAAUUCCCAUUAUUACAUAGGUCAGUAACUUUGUUGUAUAGGAAAUUAGAACAUUUAUCUCCUCUUAUCCCCGAGUGCCUUGAUUACUUUUAUUCUUGGCGUCUUGAUUUUUUGAUGAAGUAGUGCUUAUUUAUCCCCUUCUCUUUUAAUAAUUCAAUACCUUCUAAGUUAUCCUUCUUGCUUGUCCCAUUAAGCAGUGAGUUGCAGGUUACCCUAGAAGUAACUUUCCUUUAAAAUAGAUUAGUCUUGCACAAAAAUCCUCUACUUAAUUCCCUGUUUCCCCAGCAUUCACUUCCACAGCCUUACCCACUGCUUCUUUCACAGAACAGCAAAAGACAGCCCCUGGAUGUGGUCCUUGCAUGUUCAGUGUCACUGCAUGUCCUUUGUGAGCCAUCUGCAGUCUGUGCAUCCAUGAUGCAACCUUGGAGUGAUUAAAAGCUGCAUCAAAUAGCAGCCAACCAUGGGGUAUUUGUAUUUUUGCAACCAUGUUGCUCUGUCAAGGCAACUUCUGCAGUUUCUCUUUAUACCUUUUAGUGCCUGAAUGCUUUCCCUGUUUGCUUUGGGUUUCAUAUGCUGUAGGUCCCUUCUGACUUCAGUAAGAAAUAAAACCUGGCCUGUCCACUCACACUCACUGAUCCAUCUCUGUCUACAACAUAUGAGAUGUAGAAUGCUGUCUGAAAGGAAAAUAUCUCACUCUGCUUCUCAAGUUUUCUUUUGAAAUGCUUGGUGCCUUGUUUUUGUUUAUUUUUUCUUCUCCCCUUUUCUUUGAGGAGCAGAUAUUUCAGAGCAGAGUAGGCUGAGGGUUUGAAGACUGCAGUCUGAUGGUAUCAAAAUGACUCAACUGGCUCCUUCUGCUAAGUCAGAGCCCACUGCUCCAUUCUAUAACCCAGAGGGAAAUCUAAGACAAGCCAAACACCACCACUCAGCACUGCCAUGUAAAAAAUAAGGAGAUGUGAGAGACCUGUCAUCCUGCUAGAAGAAGAAUAAUCCUUCAACUCCUCUUCAUUUAGAUAUCUCUUUGCUUUUUUGGGAGUCACUUAAUCAUAGGAGAUUAAACAUGUGCCAUAUGUAUAAGUAAUGCUGUUCCAGGGAUUUAAUGGGAGCAGACUGAUUAAAUCCUAUCAAGGAUACAGUUGUCAUCAGAACUGUCUUGAGAUAAUGAACUUGACACUGAAGUAGAAUCCAUCACUCCACUACUGAAUUACUAGACUUAGGAGUUUUUGCCAAAAUUUAGAGCCAACUCACCAUACAUCCAUGUAGGUAUAAGACAUGAAUUAAAAUCUUGCCCUUUUCUGGGUCUUUAGACAUUAAGUAUCAAACUAUAAGAAGAAUAUUAGGAUUUACCAUAUGAACUAAUUCUGGGGUACAUCACUGCUACUGGUUUUUUUGUUUGUUUGGUUUUGGGUUUUUUUUUAAAGCAUGGAUGAAAGGAAUGAUGCAUCCUGCCUUUCAGAAAACAUGGAAAGCUAAAACCACUAUUCUAACUUUUCUUAGCAUUGAACAUAAUUGUGAGUCUGGAGGACCCAAUUUACAGCUGAUGUCUACCUAAAAUAAUGAAAAAAAUCAUGUUACCAAACUGGGGAGUGAUAUAACCAUUAGUUUACAGUUCCAGACACUGAGUAAAUAAAAUAUUUUUUGUGGCCUUCUUUUGUAAAGUUGUUACUAGUAGAGAUUCUUUGGUUUGCUUUUUAAACACCUUUAGAAAAAAACUCACAUAGAAGCUACUUAAGUUAUCAUGUUGCAAGCAUCUUUAAUCAUAAAUGAAACUUGUAUAUUGAUGAGUUCUCAAUUUCAGGCAUCGUAUCAGUGACAAACAUAUUCUGAAUCAUUUCAAGUGUAUACAGCAAAAUUUGUCAGAUGCACUAUUUCUGACCAUGAGUAGCAGCCAUCAGUGUCAGCUGACAGAAAUGAUGGAAUCUACCUGUUUCGUGUUGCUGUUUCUACUCCAAACUUUGAGGAAAGGGGGCUACAAGUUAAAGUGAAUGUAUUGUUUAUUGCAAAACUGGACUGACCAAGCUGGACACCUGAAUUCUCUAUUUAAUUACAAGCAAGAUAUGGCACAGACAAGAGCCAGGCCAUAUUUUCAUGUCUCUUCACCAGCGGUUUUUGGUUCUGGACAAACAGAGCAUCCUGCCCUCUGGAGCUGCCAGUUUUCCUAGAAAUUGCAUCCAGAGACACCUUUUUGGGUCCACUUUCAUUAAGAGUUUUACACUGUGUGGUGAAGCUCCCUAGCAGGAGCUCCUGCACAAUAAAGGUGGUAACUGGAGCAUCCACUUCCCAAACAAGGCUUGUCAGUGGGAGUGAGUUCUGAGAGUUGUGCUGAAAAUCAUUUUGGAAGGAGGCAAAUCAGGGCAGGAAACAGAGAACAGCAUUGGGAGAUAUCACUUACCUCAUAUACCCUGACUAAAUUUAAUUUCAAGAUGCAGCCACCCCAUUAAUGCCUGCUUUUAUGGCAAACAGUCCACAGACCCAAAGAGGACAAGUAACUAUUAGCUCUGAAGAGGUCCCAGGGCUGGAGGCUGAGAAUGUACAGAUAGAAGAACCACCCAAUGUCUGUGACCAGAAGAUAUAUGGAUUUAAUAGUGGUACUGAGAUGGAAACAAUGGAUAUCCCUUGCAGUAGAAGUGUUGGAAAGGAAAAAUACUACCCUAAAAUGAGUAAGCUUUUAAAAGGAAAUUUAACAUGAGUGGACAAUGAGGUUAAACGCUAUUAAAAUACAUUGUACUAGAAACUUAUGGCCUAAGAGGACCAUUCCUACACUUUAAAGCUGGAAUACCUGAACAUAAGAAAAAAGUGAAAAAAAAAACCCUGUCACAUCUAUAAAAGUGGCAGUGGUACCCACUUGAAAAAAAAAAUAACAAAUAAAAUACCAAUGAACAGCAAAGCAGCCAAAAGAAAAGAAAAAGACAGGAGCAACUUGGUGAAGACAUAAUGCCAAAAAUCAAAACUUCUUCAAACAUAUCAGAAAGAGGGAGUCUGUCAGAGCCAGUAGGACAAAUAGACAAUGAAGAUGAAAAGCUUCGAUCCUCACUUAUUGCAAAGGAAGGUGGGGAAUUUAUCACUGUUGCAGAGGAGCAGAGACCAGGAUCAUGGAAAAUUGAUCAUGUCAGCAAGAAUUAUCAUCAACAAACAUUUCAGAAAUCAAUAAAUUAAUGCAAAUCUCCUGUUUUUUGUUUUUUGUUUUUGUUUUUUUUUAAUUCUGAUCAGUGAACUCUAUAGAAUCAUAGACUUGACAAACUAUUAAGCAAAUAACCUACCUGCUGCUGGAUCCAGAAUCAGGGGAAUAAAAGAAAUGGUUAAUAUGGUACCAUAAAGAUGUUUCCCAAGAUGACCUGACUCAAAGGUUUAGUCAGGUCAUCUUGGGAAAGACGAAGCAGUUCUUUUGACUUUAGCACCAGCCAGACUGGCAAGGAACUGUAAGAGAAAUGGGAUUAAUAAAUAUGGAGGGAAUGAUAGAUUUGGGACGAGUCACAGGAAUGGCUUGUGAAACUAUAAGUAUUCUGUGAAGAUGGCAGUUUACUGGAUUGGUGGACCUGUCAUUACAGGGAUAAAAUGUGGGAUUAUGUGUAUGUGGGAUUAAUAAAAUAGGGUGACAAGGGCUUCCAUUAAAAAGUACUGAAGAAGAUUUACUUCAAUUAACCAAAAUAAUUUUUACUCUGUCCUGUUGUAACAACGUAUGCUAGUAAAUGAACAUUUUGUAUUAUUGAGAGGCUCAAAAGCUAUGUAGUGGGACCUGUCAUUAUCAGCAUAUUUACAAAUUAUAACAAAGAAAGGUAAACAGUGGCGAACCAAUUUUUGAAAAUUAUUCAGGAUAGCUAAUUCUGAAGAUGAAUUCCUGCAGAGAUGAAGAAAAUUCACAGUGCUGAAUGACUAGGUGAAGAUCAGAUGAUAUUUGGGAUUGAUAAAUGGAAAUUAAUCUACAAGAAAGAAUAAGAACUCUAUGUCUCUGUGCUCAAUAGGAGAUAUACAAACAAUACUAUCACACAGAAGUGAAACUUUGGGGUCAUUCCUGGCUAUUCUCUAAAAAGAGUGAUGGAAAUUUCUUGUCAACAAGACAUAUGCACAGCAGUGCUGUGACAGAGAGUUAAAUGACUAGUUCUGAGAAAACCCACACAACUAAAUCCAUCCAGAUGGGUGAUUCAAAAUACU